CCCACGCAACCUCCUCGUCUCGCUCACUCUCCCCUUUCUCCGUUGCCCCAAACCGCCACACCCCCCAUCUCGUUAGCGAUGGAGGCCCUGCAACCCAUGGGGAUGGCGACGGUGCCUCAUGGGGGGUGCUGGCCUCGUCAACAACCUCGACUGGGUGGACGAACCAGCAUUGGCCGAUGUGUCCGGCGACGACUUCCCGUAAUUGUUGGUCAUGAUCCGCCACCACUAACCUCGCGUGCAGGGAACUCCUUUCCUUUCUCAUCCCUUGUAUUUCUCUUCCUUUGUUUACUCCUCUGUUUCUGCCCUGGUGUAGCAGACCAUGGAGGACUGCUGGAAGCGUAGUUCGUGCAGUCGGCGGCUUGCGCAUGGACGAAUAGGGCAGGAUUAAGAGGUUGGAGGCCAUGGAUGUUGGAGCCCACAAUAGAGUGUUCAGCUAUAACAAGAAUGAAGAUAGUUCAUCAGAAAAUCAAGCGAGGGGAUUGCAUCGAGGUGCUGACGGAGGCUCGGCACCUUCUUGAUGUGGCGGUGGCACUACCGACUUCCCAGCAGCUUCCUUUGGUGAGGGAGGUGGCUCGACCCAGCCAUGGCGCUAGCGUUGCAGAUUCCGGCGGCCAUGAGAUUGUACAUCACCCACGGUAGCAUCCAGCUUUGGUUUGUGUUGUGAAUGACAGCUAUGGCUUGUACUAUGGAUCCUUGGUAUCUUUACAUAAAUUUGAUGAACCUGUCGAUUUGGAUGGUUAUUGGUCGCCUACAUGUGUUUCCUGAAGAUGUCUAAAGCUUCCUUAAGAAAUGUGAUUCUGAUCUUAGUCAAUAGCAGGAUGACAAGACACAUACUCAUAUCCGCUCGUUGGUAAUGAAGUUUGUUUAGUAGAUUAUGUUGAUAUUUUUUGGAUGAUCGUCAUCGGGGCAGAUCUUGUCGUCGCUUCGCCACCCUCGCCAUCAGGAUUGUAUUAAUGACACAAGAUUCUGGCCCUGGUGUCUUCUGUUAGUACAACAGAGAGUUAUCCAAUUGGCGGAUCCAUGACAUGUGUGGGAGCAAGGGAACCAGAGGUGCUAGAUGCAGGCACUAAUUGUAUUUAGAGUUUGGUUGCAACAAUCAAAUCUUUUAGGAUGGUACUAAUGUCUUGAUUAUUUUCGAUGCCAUCAACAUCAGGUACAACCUUGGGCUAGGGGAUACCAUGAACAAAUCUUAGUCAAAUAAUUUAUGAGUGACUUCUACUGUUUACUUGAUCUUUGGUUCAGAGAAUAGGAUCUAGCUUCAGUCAAGUUAAGCAUCAAUUUGUUUCAGGGUUAGUCUCUAUUCUUAUCCCAUGUUAAGAGAAAAUCUGUACUAUGAAUUAAGUGACAUCAUGAAAUAAUCUGGAUCAAGAAAAUAAAGAAGAAUUUCAUGUUUAUUAAAGCAUAGGGGAUCAGAAGUACAAACUUAGUAAGUGAAUGAUGGCUUGCUCUUGUGGGUUAUACUGUAAUUGAUUCUAAUACUGUACCACUACUGAUGAUCACAUGUUUCCCUUGAUUUUUAGUUUAUUUUGGUUAGUCGUGACAUCUGUGCUUUCAGUUAUAUUGUUUCCUAAAUGAAAAACAAAAGUUAGUAGGAGCCAUGUUUGAUCAUAUCAGUUUCAUGUGUUUGUUGUUCACACUGGUGGAAUUUUCAAAUGUUGUUUGUCUCAGAAUUGUUCGUCUCAGGUUGUGAAUUUUCUAGUGUUGUUUGAUAACAGAUAAGUUCUCCCAGACUGGUGGAAAGCAGAGAAAGGAAGUUAAUGCUCAAGUGUCAACUCUCAUGAGACAAUGAGAACAACAACACUUACAAAAGGUAGAGUACCUCCCAAGGUGUGGGCCAUCUAUUGCUAGAGGCCACCAUCAUGUACUGCCGAGAGAUUAUAUACCUCUUGAUGAUCCUUGUCUUGUCCGGUGACAUCUUGGAUGCGCAGAUUGUCAUUGACUCACUUGGUAUCUCGUACUUACUGUCAUACUUCUACUACUUAAGUGCAUGAAGGUAGAGGAUGGAAGGUAUGAUGCUCAUGGGCCUCAGUGCUACUAUCAUGUAGUGAUAACUGCUGCAAAGUUCAUAUAAUGUUCCCUAUUUCUAUUAUUGGAAUAUUGACAUUGUUUUCAAAGAUUCAAUUUAGUUGAAUUGAGUUUGUGUUUUAACUUUCUAACAUGUGCAUGCAGAUCAAAUUGAACUAAGAAUUAAAGGUAGUAUUUAUUGAAAGUUUCCUUUUCCAUUGAAAUGUGUAGUUUUACACAUUUAUAUGCCCCUUUUUCUAUUUGUGUGGAUCAAACAGUAGAAAUCAAUGUUAAUAUUCUCUAUCUAUGUGCUAGCUGAUAUGCAUGUCCUUUUUAUGUCAAGCUGAUAGUUUAAUUGUCACAAUGAAAUCUAGGGAACUAAGCCAGGAAAAUGGGGUUUCACAGGGUAAUUUAAUUAUAGCAUUUGCUUGUAGUUUCUUGUAGUUUCCUUCUCUACAUUAGGAGUUUCAGUUCUGCAGUCGUUUCUCUCUGCUUUCAUAAAGUUGUGUAUUUUCUAAAUAUAUGACUGCUGAUUUCAGCAAUAUAUCACCACAACCCAGCAUGCAAAGGGCUUAUCUAUGUCUUUUAUUUGUUGUAUCAUAAACAUCAUCUAUGUUUAGUUUGCACAUAUUAUGUUGGUAUGUUCAAUGGUGUAGUAUAUCUCCCACUCCAUCAGCUCUUUCCUAUAAGGAUCCCAAAACAUGAAUUGGUGGUAUGCAGCUGAAGGAGUUACUCUUAGAUCAGCUGUUGAAGGAAAACCAUAUGUUAUUGUUACGCAUUUCACCUGUGUUCAUGAAUAGAAACUAAAAUGUGGAUGUACUGUAGUCUUAUAGUUGUUUUCCUGCCAUCUAGAUUGUACCAAAUAUAGUAAUAACCAAAUAUGCAAUUUUGGGCAAUGUCUAAAGGCUAUUAAAAAAAUACAAAUGGUACAAUGCUACUAUUUAAACUUAUAAAUGAAGUAGCAGAUCUGCUUCAUUUUCAUUUUCUUCUUCUCCAGCUUUGCACUUGUAGUCAGAAAUUGAUGAUGUUACAGGAAAUAGCCUUGAGAUUUUUAGACUACCUACUUCAGUACAGAACUAUGGGUAACUGCCUGUGUGUUUCGCUAUGGACUUAAUUUUGUUAGAACAUUUUAGUUUUUUCUUGAUAUUAGAACAUUUUAGUUUUCCCAAUUUGAAUGCUCAGAUAGUUCUUUUAUUUAUGCAGGAAAAUUACAAUGCAUGUCAUUUUUUUGUUGCCAGGAUUUUUUGUUUGUUUUAUGAUGUGGAUUUCUGUGUAUUUUAUCUCAUCCGAUAUCAAACUCAUAAUGGUGAACAUCUUAUUUAAACUCAUCGUACUUCUCUUUCUUGCUUCAGGUUGGGAAACCGUCAAUUGGUGAUUAUCGAACGUGUCGGAACUUCCAAGCAAAUAUCUCUCUGUGGCUAGAAUAAAUCUUUUUUCCCCUAAAAUCACUAAACUGCAAUGGUAUUUGGUCGGUCGUUGUCAAUUGAAUGUGGGAAUUGAAAUGUCUUGCCAUUUUACAAUUCUUGUUUUGCUUCACAAUCUUCUUUGUUAAAUAGACCUGUUAGUAUCUAUGAAACUACUACGCAUGCUCUCAUUUAUGAAUGAACACUUGUCUCCUGCAGUUUUUGCCGUGUCUUAUAUUCGAACCACUACGCUCAUCUAGACUGCCUCUUUUUUUUUGCUGAAUUACACAUGCUGUCAUGCAAAGACAUUAACAAAUAGGAAAGCUUGAUUAGUGCAUACAAUUUUGCCUCAAGAGGCGCCACGAGGUGGCGCCCCCGCCACUAGUGCCCAUCAAGAGAGGUUGGCUGCCACUAUGCACAAAAGUGAAUCAUUUAAACAUUAGUUGGUAGUAUGACACAAAGCACAAGUGAGCAGACUUAGAGGGGUUGGGCCACCACUAUUGCACAAAAGUGAACCAGGUCAGCUAAAGGUCAAAACUGACAUUUUUGCAAACUAGUUCACAAUCCUCUUCUUUCGCACUUGAGCAAGAUAGUUCUAAUGUAACUCUUGCUGAGUACUCCCUCGUGAACUAACAUAAGACCUUUUACAUCAUUUGUACCCAUUUUAAUACAUUAUAACUGUGCACCUUAGAAGCUCUCUCAGGCCAUUAGCAUUCACAGCCGCCAGAUCUUCAGGUUUAAAGUUUUCGACCGUUCGAUAAAACUCUCACGGCAGCACUUCCCGCAAUCUGAGCUGGGCAGCUGCUCCCGUGGCAAAAUUGGAGCCCCGUGGUUGAUCGGGCUCGUAUUGGGCUGUGUGACCCAUUUUUCCUAGGUAGAAAUCACAUAUUUGACCUGAGGCCCAAAUCAAAUCACAAACUGACCUGCUUCCGAAAAAAUUUCGCUC